rnacentral:rRNA from 1 species
UACGUAGGGCGCAAGCGUUAUUCGGAAUUACUGGGCGUAAAGGGCGCGUAGGCGGUAUGGCAAGUCGGUCGUGAAAUCCCUCGGCUCAACCGAGGAACGUCGAUCGAUACUGCUGUUCUUGAGGAUUGCAGAGGAGACUGGAAUUCCCGGUGUAGCGGUGAAAUGUGUAGAGAUCGGGAGGAACACCGGUGGCGAAGGCGGGUCUCUGGGCAAUUCCUGACGCUGAGGCGCGAAAGCGUGGGGAGCAAACGGG